rnacentral:rRNA from 1 species
AACGAACGCUGGCGGCGCGCCUAAUACAUGCAAGUCGAGCGAGAAGGUGUAGCAAUACACUUGUAAAGCGGCGAACGGGUGAGGAAUGCAUGGGUAACCUACCCUCGAGUGGGGAAUAACUAGCCGAAAGGUUAGCUAAUACCGCAUACGUUUCCGGAACUUCGGUUUCGGAAAGAAAGCAAUACCGUGGGUAUUGCGCUCCUGGAUGGGCUCAUGUCCUAUCAGCUUGUUGGUGAGGUAACGGCUCACCAAGGCUUCGACGGGUAGCUGGUCUGAGAGGACGAUCAGCCUCACUGGCACUGCGACACGGGCCAGACUCCUACGGGAGGCAGCAGUAAGGAAUAUUGCGCAAUGGACGAAAGUCUGACGCAGCGACGCCGCGUGGGGGAUGAAGGUCUUCGGGUUGUAGAGCACUUUCACCGGAGAAGAUAAUGACGGUAUCCGGAGAAGAAGCCCCGGCUAACUUCGUGCCAGCAGCCGCGGUAAU